rnacentral:misc_RNA from 1 species
GUACUUGUGUUCUAUUUAUUAUACUGUGACAGUAUAGUAUGCAGAGAAUCAGUUCAACUUUGUGUUGUAUUUUCUUGUAAGCAAACAAGUUGUUACCUCUCAAGUAGAAGGAAAGGAGCUUCGGGCUAAGACUGAUUUCCAUCUAACUUCUCAUUUUUGUUUCUUUGAAUUUCGGGAUCAUUGUUAAUUUAAGUUCAUGAACUUCCCUACAAAUUAUGUAUAUUGU